rnacentral:lncRNA from 1 species
GGCUUCUCACUGACCAAAAUGUAACUCUGCGGCACGUGCCACACUUAGAAGGGCAGGGAUGCAGAGGAAGUCAGGGAUACCACAUAGGCCUGAAAUCUUUGUGGCACAGCACAGGCUGAUCCAGAUCACUGCCUGCCUGGCCAGGGGAGUUGAAGAACAGAAAGGCCUUUAAAGAAUUUUGGACCCAGAGAGGCAGAGCCAAAGAAAGGUGGUAGUGGUUGGCAUGCCAAGAAGAGAAUGUUGGGAGAACCAAGGCAAUAGCAAAUCUGUUGAGAUGUGGUAUGUGGGACCUCCUGAAUGAAGAAGGUACAGGGGAGAGGGCCUUGGGCACCCACAGCUCAUGUCAAGACUCCAUGUAUACAGAGGAAAAGCCUGGAAGGCAUGGUGGAUCACAUACCCAUCAGCAAACCGAGAGAUGAUCAUGAUGGGCCCGAAGGACUCCUCCUUAGCGAUGUACAUGUGGUCCUCCACAUCUGUGAAAACGGUUGGCUGAAAGAAGAAGCCUGUAGGGAGACAGUGGUCCAACACAUAUCGGAGGUGUAAGUCCCCUGACGGUCUUUUUCCUAGCCUGGCUCACACAGCACUCUGUUCAUUCUGGUUCUAACAGCUGCACUAUAGACCCAGGCACCUCAUUCUCUCCAAUAGCCAAAAAG